CAGCAGUAGCCGCGGUAAUACAGAGGGUGCGAGCGUUAAUCGGAUUUACUGGGCGUAAAGCGUGCGUAGGCGGCUUUUUAAGUCGGAUGUGAAAUCCCUGAGCUUAACUUAGGAAUUGCAUUCGAUACUGGGAAGCUAGAGUAUGGGAGAGGAUGGUAGAAUUCCAGGUGUAGCGGUGAAAUGCGUAGAGAUCUGGAGGAAUACCGAUGGCGAAGGCAGCCAUCUGGCCUAAUACUGACGCUGAGGUACGAAAGCAUGGGGAGCAAACAGGAUUAGAUACCCGCGUAGUCCCUGUCUCUUAUAC
rnacentral:rRNA from 1 species